rnacentral:rRNA from 1 species
AUGACGGGCUACCUGAAUCAUUUGGUCGACUUCACGCCAACCUUUGGUGACCAAGUUAUUGUUGACACGCCCAACAUGGGGCCGAUGGCGGUCCAUGGCCGCGGAUCGGUGAACACUGCGAGCAUGACCCUGCAGGACGUUUUGUACGUCCCUGGGCUUGAUGUGAACCUCGUCGCGACUGGCCAGCUUGCUGAACUUGGCUACACCAUCGCCAUUGGUCCUUAUGGAUGUUAUGUCUUCAAGGACAACGGAGGCAUGAAUCUUGUCGGAAAAGCACAUUACGUACAUGGCUAUAUGCUGGAGCUGGAUUUCCUCAGGGCUAGUCCUUUCACGAACUGA